CCUACGGGAGGCAGCAGUGGGGAAUUUUGGACAAUGGGCGAAAGCCUGAUCCAGCCAUGCCGCGUGAGUGAAGAAGGCCUUCGGGUUGUAAAGCUCUUUUAGUCGGAAAGAAAGAGUUGCAAUGAAUAAUUGUGAUUUAUGACGGUACCGACAGAAAAAGCACCGGCUAACUACGUGCCAGCAGCCGCGGUAAUA
rnacentral:rRNA from 1 species